rnacentral:rRNA from 1 species
AGUUUGAUCCUGGCUCAGAACGAACGCUGGCGGCGUGCCUAACACAUGCAAGUCGAACGAGAAAGGGAUUUCGGUCCUGAGUAAAGUGGCGCACGGGUGAGUAACACGUAGGUAACCUGCCUCUAAGAUUGGGAUAACCUGUCGAAAGACGAGCUAAUACCGAAUAAGACCACGGUUUCUUCGGAGACAGAGGUCAAAGGUAGCCUCUAUUUAUAAGCUAUCACUUAGAGAUGGGCCUGCGCACCAUUAGCUAGUUGGUAGGGUAACGGCCUACCAAGGCAAAGAUGGUUAGCUGGUCUGAGAGGAUGAUCAGCCACACUGGAACUGAGACACGGUCCAGACUCCUACGGGAGGCAGCAGUGGGGAAUAUUGCGCAAUGGGCGAAAGCCUGACGCAGCAACGCCGCGUGAGUGAUGAAGGCCCUCGGGUCGUAAAGCUCUGUCGGAGGGAACGAAUGCUUUUGAGGUUAACAGCCUCGAAAAGUGACGGUACCCUCAAAGGAAGCACCGGCUAACUCUGUGCCAGCAGCCGCGGUAA